rnacentral:rRNA from 1 species
GACGGAGGAUGCAAGCGUUAUCCGGAAUUAUUGGGCGUAAAGCGUCCGCAGGUGGCGAUUUAAGUCUGCUGUCAAAGAACACAGCUUAACUGUGGGCAGGCAGUGGAAACUGGAUUGCUAGAGUGCGGCAGGGGUAGAGGGAAUUCCCAGUGUAGCGGUGAAAUGCGUAGAUAUUGGGAAGAACACCAGUGGCGAAGGCGAUCUACUGGGCCGCAACUGACACUCAUGGUCGAAAGCUAGGGGAGCGUAGGGG